rnacentral:rRNA from 1 species
GACGAACGCUGGCGGCGCGCUUAACACAUGCAAGUCGAGGGUAUUUCGGUACACUGGCGCACGGGUGAGUAACGCGUAGGCAAUCUACCUAUAUCACUGACAUAACUAUUGGAAACGGUAGCUAAUAUCAGAUGAGGACGCGAGUUCAAAGUUUUCGGACGGAUAUAGCUGAGCCUGCGUAAGAUUAGCUAGUUGGUAAGGUAACGGCUUACCAAGGCUACGAUCUUUAGCUGGUCUGAGAGGACGAACAGCCACACUGGAACUGAGACACGGUCCAGACUCCUACGGGAGGCAGCAGUGAGGAAUUUUGGACAAUGGGGGCAACCCUGAUCCAGCGACGCCGCGUGUUGGAAGACGGGGUUUAUCCCUGUAAACAACUGUCAGAUGGGAGAAAAAGCUUCUUAUAGGGGCUGGGCUAGUACCAUCAGAGGAAGGGUCGGCUAACUACGUGCCAGCAGCCGCGGUAAUACGUAGGACCCAAGCGUUGUCCGGAAUUACUGGGUAUAAAGGGUGCGUAGGCUGGUCGGAACGUCAGAGGUUAAAGACUGCAGCUUAACUGCAGGGUUGCCUUUGAAACGGCUGAUCUUGAAUAUGAGAGAGGAUGAUAGAAUUCCUGGUGUAGCGGUGAAAUGCGUAGAUAUCAGGAGGAAUACCAGUGGCGAAGGCGGUCAUCUGGCUCAUAAUUGACGUUGAGGCACGAAAGCGUGGGUAGCGAACAGGAUUAGAUACCCUGGUAGUCCACGCCCUAAACGAUGUAUGCUUGGUGUUGGUAAUUAAUUAUCAGUGCCGAAGGAAAUCUAUUAAGCAUACCACCUGGGGAGUACGAUCGCAAGUUUGAAACUCAAAGGAAUUGACGGGGGCCCGCACAAGCGGUGGAUUAUGUGGUUUAAUUCGAUGCAACGCGAAGAACCUUACCAGGGCUUGAAUUGUAAAGGAAUGAUAUAGAAAUAUGUCAGUCUUCGGAUCUUUAUAUAGGUGCUGCAUGGCUGUCGUCAGCUCGUGCCGUGAGGUGUUGGGUUAAGUCCCGCAACGAGCGCAACCCCUAUCCUUAGUUGCCAUCAGGUUAAGCUGGGCACUUUAAGGAGACUGCCCACGCAAGUGGAGAGGAAGGUGGGGACGACGUCAAGUCAUCAUGGCCCUUAUGUCCUGGGCUACACACGUAAUACAAUGGACGGUACAAAAAGCAAAACCGCGAGGUGGAGAUAAUCAAUAAAGCCGUCCUCAGUUCGGAUUAGAGUCUGCAACUCGACUCUAUGAAGCUGGAAUCGCUAGUAAUCGUAGAUCAGCAUGCUACGGUGAAUACGUUCCCGGGCCU